UACAGAGGGGGCAAGCGUUAUUCGGAAUUAUUGGGCGUAAAGGGCGCGUAGGCGGUCUUCUAAGUCUUGUGUGAAAUCCCUCGGCUUAACUGAGGAACUGCACGGGAUACUGGAUGACUUGAGUUCGGGAGAGGGAAGCGGAAUUCCGGGUGUAGCGGUGAAAUGCGUAGAUAUCCGGAGGAACACCGGUGGCGAAGGCGGCUUCCUGGACCGACACUGACGCUGAGGCGCGAAAGCAUGGGGAGCAAAAGGG
rnacentral:rRNA from 1 species